AUUAUAAAAACCCUGGACUUGGCUGCAGUUGGAGACAGUGGGCAAAGGGGAAGGAGGUUGUGCAUGUGAGCUCCACAGAGAGGCUUGGCUGCUGGUCUGGCUGCUGUGAGAAGGGAACUCAUGAUGACUCUCAGAGAAGCAGUGGUAGUGUCAGAGGGGGGAGUGUCACAGACAGUGGGAAAGCAGAAGCACCAAGCCACAAAGAAAUAACCACAACCAAAAGUCAAGGGGCAGGACACUGCCUUCCAGACCCGAUGCCCAGGAUGUGCAGCGUCCUGGGUGAUAUUUAGAAAACUUUCAUGGGCAGAACUCGUGGCAACCUGUAAUGAAUGAAGAC